rnacentral:rRNA from 1 species
GAUGAACGCUGGCGGCGUGCUUAACACAUGCAAGUCGAACGGGAAUGCUUCGCUGAUGCGAUUUCGGUCAAAUCUUGAAGCAUUUUAGUGGCGGACGGGUGAGUAACGCGUGGGUAACCUGCCCUGUACAGGGGGACAACAGUUGGAAACGACUGCUAAUACCGCAUAAGCGCACAGCAUCGCAUGAAGCAGUGUGAAAAACUCCGGUGGUACAGGAUGGACCCGCGUCUGAUUAGAGAGUUGGUGAGGUAACGGCCCACCAAGUCAACGAUCAGGAGCCGUCCUGAGAGGGCGAACGGCCACAUUGGGACUGAGACACGGCCCAAACUCCUACGGGAGGCAGCAGUGGGGAAUAUUGCACAAUGGGGGAAACCCUGAUGCAGCGACGCCGCGUGAGUGAAGAAGUAUUUCGGUAUGUAAAGCUCUAUCAGCAGGGAAGAAAGACAUGACGGUACCUGACUAAGAAGCCCCGGCUAACUACGUGCCAGCAGCCGCCGUAA